rnacentral:rRNA from 1 species
GACGAGCCACACAAACGUUAUUCGGAAUUACUGGGCUUAAAGGGUGCGUAGGCGGCGCGGAAAGUUGGGUGUGAAAGCCCUCGGCUCAACCGAGGAAUUGCGCCCAAAACUACCGUGCUUGAGGAAGAUAGAGGUGAGCGGAACUCAGGGUGGAGCGGUGAAAUGCGUUGAUAUCCUGAGGAACACCGGCGGCGAAAGCGGCUCACUGGAUCUUUUCUGACGCUGAGGCACGAAAGCUAGGGUAGCGAACGGG